GAUGAACGGGGGGGGAGGGACGAAUAAAGGCAAGUCGAGCGAACGGACGAGAAGCUUGCUUCUCUGAUGUUAGCGGCGGACGGGUGAGUAACACGUGGAUAACCUACCUAUAAGACUGGGAUAACUUCGGGAAACCGGAGCUAAUACCGGAUAAUAUUUUGAACCGCAUGGUUCAAAAGUGAAAGACGGUCUUGCUGUCACUUAUAGAUGGAUCCGCGCUGCAUUAGCUAGUUGGUAAGGUAACGGCUUACCAAGGCAACGAUGCAUAGCCGACCUGAGAGGGUGUGCGGCCACACUAGAACUGAGACACGGUCCAGACUCCUACGGGAGGCAGCAGUAGGGAAUCUUCCGCAAUGGGCGAAAGCCUGACGGAGCAACGCCGCGUGAGUGAUGAAGGUCUUCGGAUCGUAAAACUCUGUUGUUAGGGAAGAACAUAUGUGUAAGUAACUGUGCACAUCUUGACGGUACCUAAUCAGAAAGCCACGGCUAACUACGUG
rnacentral:rRNA from 1 species